GAUGAAGAACGCAGUGAAAUGCGAUACUUGGUGUGAAUUGCAGAAUCCCGUGAACCAUCGAGUCUUUGAACGCAAGUUGCGCCCGAAGCCAUUAGGCCGAGGGCACGCCUGCCUGGGCGUCACACAUCGUUGCCCCCCCAUCUACUCCUUCGGGAUUGCGGGGGGCGGAUGAUGGCCUCCCGUGCGCCUCGUCGCGCGGUUGGCAUAAAUGCCAAGUCCUCGGCGACGCACGCCACGACAAUCGGUGGUUGCGAAACCUCGGUUGCCCGUCGUGUGCGGUCGUCGCGCAUCGAGGGCUCGAAAAAAUUGCCGGGCUCCGGCUCGGCUUUCAACGCGACCCCAGGUCAGGCGGGGUUACCCGCUGAAUUUAAGCAUAUCAAUAAGCGGAGGA
rnacentral:misc_RNA from 1 species